CCCCCUAAUUUCUCUCAACUUCCCUCAACUUCCCAACCCCCUACACACUGAUAUACACACACGGACACAUUUUGAAAAAAGAGAAGGAAGAGAACAUUGAAAAAAAAGAAGGAAAAGAAACAGAGAGAACAAGAAAAGAGAAAAUUAGAAACUGUAAGUGAUCAAGAGAAAAAACAAAACAAGAAACAAAGAGAAACCAAGAAACAAAACG
rnacentral:lncRNA from 1 species